CAAGUCGCACGAGAAAGGGUAGCAAUACCUGAGUAAAGUGGCGCACGGGUGAGUAACACGUGAAUUAUCUACCUCCGAGUGGGGAAUAACUGAGAGAAAUCUUAGCUAAUACCGCAUAACACUUACGAGUCAAAGCAGCAAUGCGCUUGGAGAGGAGUUCGCGGCCGAUUAGUUAGUUGGCGGGGUAACGGCCCACCAAGCCUGCGAUCAGUAACUGGUGUGAGAGCACGACCAGUCACACGGGCACUGAGACACGGGCCCGACUCCUACGGGGGGCAGCAGUAAGGAAUAUUGGUCAAUGGACGCAAGUCUGAACCAGCUAUGCCGCGUGAAGGAUGAAGGCCCUCUGGGUUGUAAACUUCUUUUAUCUGGGACGAAAAAAGCUCUUUCUAGAGCACUUGACGGUACCAGAGGAAUAAGCACCGGCUAACUCCGUGCCAGCAGCCGCGGUAAUACGGAGGGUGCAAGCGUUAUCCGGAUUUACUGGGUUUAAAGGGUGCGUAGGUGGGUCUGUAAGUCAGUGGUGAAAUCUCCGAGCUUAACUCGGAAACUGCCAUUGAUACUAUAGGUCUUGAAUUAUCUGGAGGUAAGCGGAAUAUGUCAUGUAGCGGUGAAAUGCUUAGA
rnacentral:rRNA from 1 species